AUUGAACGCUGGCGGCAGGCCUAACACAUGCAAGUCGAGCGAGCGGCGGGCGGGUGAGUAAUGUAUGGGGACUGCCCGAUAGAGGGGGAUAACUACUGGAAACGGUAGCUAAUACCGCAUACUAUCGGAUAACCCAUAUGGGAUUAGCUAGUGGGGGGGGAAAUGGCUCACCUAGGCGACGAUCCCUAGCUGGUCUGAGAGGAUGAUCAGCCACACUGGGACUGAGAAACGGCCCAGACUCCCAGGGAGGCAGCAGUGGGGAAUAUUGCACAAUGGGCGAAAGCCUGAUGCAGCCAUGCCGCGUGUAUGAAGAAGGCCUUAGGGUUGUAAAGUACUUUUAGCAGGGAAGCGGUAUCUGCAGAAUAAGCACCGGCUAACUCCGUGCCAGCCGCCGCGGUAAUUC
rnacentral:rRNA from 1 species